AUUGUGGUAGCAUAAGUUUGAUAAUGCUUUAAAUUUUUAAUUUAAAUAUGUGGUUUCUCACAAUG
rnacentral:tRNA from 1 species